UACGUAGGGUGCAAGCGUUAAUCGGAAUUACUGGGCGUAAAGCGUGCGCAGGCGGUUGCACAAGACAGAGGUGAAAUCCCCGGGCUUAACCUGGGAACUGCCUUUGUGACUGUGCGGCUAGAGUGUGUCGAGAGGGGGUAGAAUUCCACGUGUAGCAGUGAAAUGCGUAGAUAUGUGGAGGAAUACCGAAGUGGCGAAGGCAGCCCCCCUGGGAUAACACGUGACGCUCAUGCACGAAAGCGUAGGGGAGCAAACAGG
rnacentral:rRNA from 1 species